UACGGGGGGGGCAAGCGUUGUUCGGAAUUACUGGGCGUAAAGGGCUCGUAGGUGGCCAACUAAGUCGGACGUGAAAUCCCUCAGCUUAACUGGGGAACUGCGUCCGAUACUGGAUGGCUUGAGUUUGGGAGAGGGAUGCGGAAUUCCAGGUGUAGCGGUGAAAUGCGUAGAUAUCUGGAGGAACACCUGUGGUGUAGACAGCUUACUGGACCACUUCUGACGCUGAGACACGAAAGCGUGGGUAGCAAACAGG
rnacentral:rRNA from 1 species